CAUGCCCAGAGUGGAGUCCAAUAUGGGGCUUGAACUCAAGACCUGAGCUGAGAUCAAGAGAUCAAGAUCAUUUAACCAACUGAGCCACUCACAUGCACCCAAAUAUAUAUCCUUAAUCAAUACAUUUUAUAAUGAUAAUUUUAUAGUAACCAUGAUACCAGAAAUUACUGAAUUAAAUUAUUUAUUUUAAGGCUUUACAAUCUAUUUUUCAAGCUAACUGGCUAAAUAUUAACAUUUACCUACAAUGUAUGGAUUCAUUUUGCACACACUAUUUUCUAAAUUUUCUAAUCAAAUUCCAUUCAUUCAGGACUGGUUCUUCUUCAGGUACAGCAAUGUCUAUAUUUACACUUUCAAUUUCUUUUUGGUAUUUAUUACUUGUCUGAGUUACUAAUGUCUCACUUUGGAGUAAUUCAUCUUUACAAAACAGAAUUACUUAUACAGAAUAUAACAUUGUCUUUCUCUAGUGAGAUAUUCCUUCUCCAGACUUCUAAUAAUCCCCAAACAAUAAAUGUUACUAAUAAUCUUGUAUAUUUCUUUUCUGGAGAGUUUUAAGGGGUGAAGAACUGGUUGUCUUUGUGUUCACUCACAUGGCAUAAUGGUGUGUAGAUGCUGUAUGUAGAAUGGUUAAGAGAUUUAUGUUUAAGGAAAUUGAAAGCUUCAAAAAAGUGAGUUGAGUUUAAAGUAGUAUUUUCCAACUGUGUGCUACUGCUAUUUCCUAAGCAAAAUCACUAAGAGUCCUUGAGGAAAAAAAAUAGAUUUCUGGGCCUGACCUAGAAAUUAAAAUCAGAACUUCUGGAAUUACGAUCAUCAAAGUCUGAGAAUUAGUAGUAAAAACCAUGGUUCAGGAUGGGCUUUAAAGAGUUCAGAGAUCAAAUUUGGACUUAGCACUUGAGCUAACCUCUGGUUAGGACUAGCUUAGAAUGAGAAAAAUCUCCAUUUCUAGAGAAUCACAUUCUCAAUAUGUAGCCUUUUCUCUCUCCCCCUUCUCAGUCAUGGGCCCAAGGAAGGGAUGGGUUUUCUGCUGGGUUAGGGUGGCCCUGUGAGAUUGGGGGCAAAGAAUUGCAAAGAGUAGAGCCACAAGUAGGACAGGGUUCACUUUCCAUGGGGGAGGGGGACCCGACAUCUAGAGAAAUGUCUGCCCCAAGUUUCUGACAAGCUGGGCCUUUUAAGGGGUUCUUAAGGGUAGGAGAGGGUUACAGCUGCACCCAUGGCUGGGUGUGGGGUGGGGGUCAAUGUUUGGCCAGGUCAACCAGAAGGCAGCAGGUUUUUUGACAGGACUCUGUCUGUGGCUCAUCUGGGAUGUGGGUUGCAGUCAGGCUAGAAAAGAAUAGGUUUUGUGGCUGGGGUUAGAAAAACAAAGAGAUAGGCCCAAGUAAAGACACCUGUGAGUUUUGUAUGAAAGUGACUGGGGAGGGGUGGUGCUUUGAAUAGAUUCCUUUCGUGCUGGAAGUAAACCCAGGUGCUAAUUUCAGACAUGAGAGUGGAGGAGAGGCGCCAUCAUGCAGAGAACUCCAAGCAGUUUUCCAGACUCAGGCUUCUCUUAACAGAGGAGGAUGGACUUAUCGUUUAGUGCUAGAAAUACUCCCCGGGGCCUGUGGGAGAAGAGCCUUCUGAAUUUUCUUGAUUCCUGAUUCAAAUCUCCCAUAAGAUGGGAACCGGAAGUUCCAAUUGUUGAUGAACAAUUUGGGCCAGUUUGGGCGCAGUGUAUGGACUCCUGCAGGAAGGCAGACAGAGCCCCUCAACAGAGAGUACGUUGCUGGGCCACAGACCAGGCAGAGAAAAGGGUCUAAGAGUACCUGCAGCUUUCCAUGGUUCUGUCACCUGGGAAUCCCACACAGAAGACCAGUGCCCGGAGAAAUAAUCCUCCAGGAAGGGAAAGAAGAAAACUAUUAGUGAGGACCAUUUAUUAUUUUUUAGUUUAUGGCUGUUUAGAAAAGGACUAUUACACUGGAGAAGAAUAAUUUUAUAUUCUGAUCAUAGUUCUAUUUUGUAAAAAUAUAUUACUCCAAAGUGAGAUAUUAGUGCCUCAAACAAGUACACGUAAGAUUUUCGCAUUUCAUUGUGUGUUAAUUAUAUGUCAAUGAGAGAAAUAAGAAACAACAAAAAUCAUAGAGAAAAAGCAAAAAUUUUUAAAGUAUCACCAGUAAUGGAAAUUAUUCCAAUGAGAAAGGAUAAUAGAAAGGCUCAACUAUUUCAUAUUUCUAAAGGACAGUUCAAGGUGUUCUCCCUAAUAUGCUUACCUCUUAGAAAAUGAUAAAAGAAUGUGAUUAAUGAUGAUUCAUAUUAAUGAUUAUAAUUCAAAGCAACAGAAAUAUUUGGAAAUAAGAGCUUGUGGGGUUAUAUCUUGCUUUAGUAUAUUUAUGCAGAUAUUUCUGUUUUUUUCCUGUGUACAAUUUUGACUUAUGUUUUCAAAUUUAUAGUCCCUUUUUUAUUAGUUUGCAUCAGAGAGGUUCUUUGAAUUAUAUAUCAUUACCAAGAAAGAUAAUGGUUUUUCCCCUGUCUUCAUAAUUUCAGAUUGUCUCAUCCAUCUUUAUUGACACUCUUCAACAAUGACAUCCUCAUUCAAGAUAAGAUCACUACAGUUGUGGGAAUAAAAGGAAUAGAAAAUUCCUCUCAUGUUCUCAUCAAGAACAGUGAUGUCAAAGUAGUCCCUCUGGUGUGUAAGGCUGCAGGGUGGUACCCAGAGCCUGAGGCAAGCCGGAAAGCUCUAAGGACAUAACUUAAAGCCAUACUCUGAAAAUGACACCCCAAAUGGGAAAAGCCUAUUCUCCAACGAAUCUUCAAUCCUGGUAACUGAACCCAAAAAGACUGUGCUCUGUUCCAUCCUCAACUCCAGGCUAAACCAGCAAAAGGAGACAACUAUUUCUGUUUCAGUGUUAUUCACAACAACCAAGACAUGGAAAUGACCUAUGUGUUCAUCGAUAUAGGAAUGGAUAAAGAAAACAUGGUUCUUCAGAAGAUCAUAUUAAAUAUAUCGAAGGAAAGGAACAAACUCAACAGUGUCAUCAAUACAGUCUACACUUAAACAGGGGAGCGUUAUUUUGUAUAGCAUUUCGUGAAUUUUCAGUAUUUGUGGUCUGUUGUUUUAGAAUAUUGUGAUUUAUCCUUUCUUUAUUAACAAAAUUGCUUUUCUAUGGAAAAAACAAAAUGUGAUUAUAUACACACACAUGCACAUACAUGGAGAUGCAAUGGAAUAUUAGUCAGUCAUUAAAAAAAAAAAAAAAGAAAAGAAAGUCCUGCCCUAUUCAACAACAAGGAUGGACCUUGAGGGCAUUAUGCUAAGUGAAAUAAGUCAGAGAAAGAAAAACAUGUUCUCACUUAUAUGUGGAGUCGAAAAAAGCUGAACUCCUAGAAACAAAGAGUAGAUUGCUGAUUGCCAAGGGCUUGAGAGUACAGGAAAUGAGGAGGCAUUAACCAACGGGUACAAGCAUUCCUUCCAUACAGGAAUAAGUUCCAGAGAUCUAACAUACAGCAUGGUGAUUAUAGUUAACAAUGGUGUGUUGUGAACUUGAAAGCCACAGAGAGAGUAGAUCUUAAAUGUUCUCACCAUAACAGCAACAAAAAUGGCAAUUAUGUGAGCUAAAGGAGGGGUUACCUAACUUUAUUGCGGAAAUCGUUUCUCAUUAUACACAUGCAUCACAUCAUGACACUGUACCCCUAAACUUAUGCGUUGUUGUAUGUCAAUUAUAUCUCGGAAAAGCUGAUGGAAAAAAAUUUACG